UACAGAGGGUGCGAGCGUUAAUCGGAAUUACUGGGCGUAAAGCGCACGUAGUCGGCUUUGCAAGUCGGUCGUGAAAUCCCCGGGCUCAACCUGGGAACUGCAUCCGAGACUGCAUUGCUAGAGUAUGGGAGAGGAAAGCGGAAUUUCUGGUGUAGCAGUGAAAUGCGUAGAUAUCAGAAGGAACAUCAGUGGCGAAGGCGGCUUUCUGGACCAAUACUGACGAUCAGGUGCGAAAGCGUGGGGAGCAAACAGG
rnacentral:rRNA from 1 species